AUACCAUGAUGAGGACAUCUUCUUAGUAGCUCUUUAAAUCUUUCUCAUGCAUCAUACAAGUGUUCAUCUGCAAGUUGAUGAAAAGAUAUGAUCUCAUUUCUCAACUU
rfam:Citrus clementina cultivar Clemenules unplaced genomic scaffold scaffold_1, whole genome shotgun sequence.